UACGUAGGGUGCAAGCGUUGUCCGGAAUUAUUGGGCGUAAAGAGCUCGUAGGCGGUUUGUCGCGUCUGCUAUGAAAACCCGAGGCUCAACCUCGGGCCUGCAGUGGGUACGGGCAGACUAGAGUGCGGUAGGGGAGGUUGGAAUUCCUGGUGUAGCGGUGGAAUGCGCAGAUAUCAGGAGGAACACCAAUGGCGAAGGCAGAUCUCUGGGCCGUAACUGACGCUGAGGAGCGAAAGCAUGGGGAGCGAACAGG
rnacentral:rRNA from 1 species